rnacentral:misc_RNA from 1 species
AACUUUUAGCAAUGGAUCUCUUGGCUCCCACAACGAUGAAGAACGCAGCGAGAUGCGAUAAGUAAUGUGAAUUGCAAAAUUCCGUGAAUCAUCAAAUCUUUGAACGCACAUUGCGCUCUUUGGUAUUCCGAAGAGCAUAUCUGUUUGAGAAUCAGUUUAAAUCUCAACUCAAAUUUUUUGAAAAGAAAAAUUGCGUUGGAGUUGAGACUUCACAAACUUUUUGUUUGCGAGUCUUUAAUUUCAUUUGUCAGUCCACUUGUUCUAGUGGUCAUAUAACCAAGCUGAAAGGCAAAGUAUGUGAUUUACAUUUGAACAAGUUUGACAUAAACUUACAACACGAAAGUUGCAAAACUUUUAAGACUUGAUCUCAAAUCAGAUAAGACUACCCGCUGAACUUAAGCAUAUCAAUAAGCGGAGGC